rnacentral:lncRNA from 1 species
UCACUUCUCCCCUAGAGGUGUCAUCGCCAUCCCAAACUCUGAAAAACAACUCUGACUUCGCCAAAGGCGAUCAUCAAACCAACCCACCCUGAAUAGGCCGUGCGGAAUCACAUGAAGAUCCACAUCGGACCUCAGCCACUACAACAAGAAAGCACAGCUCUAACACCAACAGAGAGCUACGAAUGAACCAAGCAGCUGUGAAGUCGAAGCUACAGUGGCAGGGCCCGGUGGCAUAUGCUGACGAGUAGGUGGUCCGUUCGGUGAUCUUCCUCAACACGUAGUAUGACUUCAGUGCACACGACACAGUAUAUGCCCCCAUGGAGACCGACAACAGAACAACAGUUCCACAAGCAUGAGCACACUUGAAUUCAGGUGAGAGUGUGACCACUCCCAUUCCUGUCACGUAGAAAGAAGAAAACUCCCGUUUCGUACAGAAAUUCCAUGAGAAGCAAAAUGGCGUCACGUCGUAUUAUUUGUAUUCUUCGUUCUACGAAUCAGCAAAACCAGAUCACGACUCGGACACGAUUCACAUGGAGCACCUAUCUCACGCUUUUUCGACGCUGUAGCCAGGCUGCCUCUCUUCCUCAUCACUUAUUUAAGACGCCUGUCUGGGUUAAAAAAUCGUGACCGAACAAUGACCGGCGGUAUGUAAGGCCUUCCACAGCGUAGCCGGUGCCAAAUACAUCAAAAGGCAGCCACCUCAUCACCGGUGCCCAAAAUUGCUUUUCAGGCAUCGAUCUCACAACGUAGGGCUUCGGCAGGAAAAAGAUUUUGGGACCCAUAUGAUAAACAAGUACACCACGCUGCUGUGUAUUGAGCAAAGAGAGAGAAGACAUUCGCUGUUCAAAGUUGAGAGUUAAUAGUAUUUUAUUGGCUGGAGGAAUUGGGCAUCGUGUUCUUACUUGCUCCGAUGCCAUGAAAAUUUUGUUGGGGCACCGGCCUCACAACGUGAGGGCACCGGCUAUCGGAGCCAGAAGUUAAUUUGGCACCUCUUUUGGCCUACAUAAUGGAAGGUCUAAGAGGUGGGUUUGAGAGAUCGGUUGUAGAUGCUCUUAAUAAGCUAGUACUAGAAGAAGAACAUGUAUAGGGGAGGAAGGGGACAUAAGUGAAUCCCGAACGAAAGCACGUACCUGCGGGUGAUGGCCGAGUCAAGAAACACGGUCGACGUUCGUGAUCGAGUUGGCGCCGUGCCGGAGCUAAUUCAAGGGAAUGCCGCCGCCUUCCAACCGGAGACGAGACUGUAUUAUGUGGCUGACAACCUGCGCAGCUUUCAAACAUGGUGGCUCCUUUUGGAAAAGGCUCGGAGUGGAGACCCCAACCGUGUCACUCGUGUCAUACAUAUGCACCUUACAAAGGGCUGCGAGCUUUACUACACAGAUGUGUUGGGUGUUCAUUUGGUUUUAACAAAUUUGAGACCUUAUCUUUUUUUUGUUGGGUUUGCAGCUUUUAUGUCAUUUUAAAUACAUAUGUGUAUGCUGUCAAUACACUAUAGAUUAACAUACACUAGUGUCAAAAACGCUUUUAUAUUAUAAAACGGAGGGAGUAGUCUGAUUUUCUCAACACGUAAGGGCUUCUUUGAUUCAAAGGAAUUGCAUAGGAUUUUUGGAGGAUUUGAAUCCUUAGGAAUUUUUCCUGUGAUGCUCGUUUGAUUCGUAGGAUUGGCAUCCUUAGGAAUUUUUCCAUAGGAUCCAUUUGUACUACAUUUUGGAGGAAAAUUUGCAUCCACUGAAACCUCUUUGUAGGAUUCCUUUGUUUUUCCUGCGCUAUCAAACAUUCUUUGAGAUCCUGUAGGAUACUAUGGGACAUGUCAUCCUAUUCCUGCAUUUUUCCUAUUCCUUCAUUUUGACAAUCCUGCGAAUCAAAGAGGCCCUAAAUUUUUUUUUAAACGGAGGCAAAAGAUUUGGCUCAUUCAUUAAUUAAGCAGAAAAGAACUGCCCAGUUAAUUAAUGAAAAACCAGGCGAAAAUCAUCACAAACUACUGAGUGACACCAAUGAAAGACCUACACGCGCCACUCACAAGAGGGCCUCGUCAAGACUGCACGUCGACAUCAUCGCCAUCACUUCUCCCCUAGAGGCAUCAUUGCCAUCCCAAACUAUGAGAAACGACUCCAACUUCACCUCAAGAGGGCCUCGUCAAGACCGCACCUCGAGCGUCAUCACCAUCAUUUCUCCCCUAGAGGUGUCAUCGCCAUCCCAAACUCUGAAAAACAACUCUGACUUCGCCAAAGGCGAUCAUCAAACCAACCCACCCUGAAUAGGCCGUGCGGAAUCACAUGAAGAUCCACAUCGGACCUCAGCCACUACAACAAGAAAGCACAGCUCUAACACCAACAGAGAGCUACGAAUGAACCAAGCAGCUGUGAAGUCGAAGCUACAGUGGCAGGGCCCGGUGGCAUAUGCUGACGAGUAGGUGGUCCGUUCGGUGAUCUUCCUCAACACGUAGUAUGACUUCAGUGCACACGACACAGUAUAUGCCCCCCUGGAGACCGACAACAGAACAACAGUUCCACAAGCAUGAGCACACUUGAAUUCAGGUGAGAGUGUGACCACUCCCAUUCCUGUCACGUAGAAAGAAGAAAACUCCCGUUUCGUACAGAAAUUCCAUGAGAAGCAAAAUGGCGCCACGUCGUAUUAUUUGUAUUCUUUGUUCUACGAAUCAGCAAAACCAGAUCACGACUCGGACACGAUUCACAUGGAGCACCUAUCUCACGCUUUUUCGACGCGGUAGCCAGGCUGCCUCUCUUCCUCAUCACUUAUUUAAGACGCC